rnacentral:rRNA from 1 species
UACGUAGGGUGCGAGCGUUUAAUCGGAAUUACUGGGCGUAAAGAGUGCGUAGGCGGUUCGUUAUGUCUGCUGUGAAAGCCCCGGGCUUAACCCGGGAAUGGCAGUGGAAACUGGCGGGCUUGAGUGUGGCAGAGGGGGGUGGAAUUCCGCGUGUAGCAGUGAAAUGCGUAGAGAUGCGGAGGAACACCGAUGGCGAAGGCAGCCCCCUGGGCUAACACUGACGCUGAGGCACGAAAGCCGUGGGGAGCAAACAGG